AUUAUUUUAAUAAGUUAAAAGGCCGCGGUAACCUUGACCGUGAUAAUGUAGCACAAUCAUGCGCCGUUUAAUUAACGGAUAGAAUGAAUGGUUAAACGAAAAUCUCACUGUCUUAAAAAAUAACCCAUAAAAAAUUAAGAUAGCAGUUAAGACGCUGCUUUAUAUUGUAAGACGAAAAGACCCUAUAAAGCUUAACUAUAAACCUUUUUCAAACAAAACUAUAAAAAGUUUAGUAGAAGGUUGGGUAGUUUCAUUGGGGCGAUGACCUUUUAAAAAAAACAAAGGUAAGCAAAAUUCAUAAAAAGAUUUAUUGUAUAAAUAAUAUUUUUAACAAUUACAAAGUAGGCUAUAAUGACCCGUUUGCACAAAGAAAAAUAGCUAACGAUAAAUAAAUAAAAGCUACUUUAGGGAUAACAGGAUAAUUUUAUCUAAGAGCCCGUAUCGAAGAUGAAGUUUGUCACCUCGAUGUUGAAUUAAGAUAUCCUGAUAAUGUAGUCGUUAUCAAAGGUAGGUCUGUUCGACCUAUAAAAUCUUACAUGAUUUGAGUUCAUUCCGUA
rnacentral:rRNA from 1 species